rnacentral:misc_RNA from 1 species
CAGAGUUCAUGCCCUUACGGGUAGAUCUCCCCACCCUUGAAUAUAUUAUACCUUUGUUGCUUUGGCGGGCCGCUUCGGCUACCGGCUCCAGCUGGUAAGUGCCCGCCAGAGGACCUAAACUCUUGAAUUAUAGUGUCGUCUGAGUACUAUAUAAUAGUUA